rnacentral:rRNA from 1 species
AACGAACGCUGGCGGCAUGCCUAACACAUGCAAGUCGAACGAUGCCUUCGGGCAUAGUGGCGCACGGGUGCGUAACGCGUGGGAAUCUGCCCUUGGGUUCGGAAUAACUCAGAGAAAUUUGAGCUAAUACCGGAUGAUGACGUAAGUCCAAAGAUUUAUCGCCCAAGGAUGAGCCCGCGUAAGAUUAGCUAGUUGGUGGGGUAAAGGCCUACCAAGGCGACGAUCUUUAGCUGGUCUGAGAGGAUGAUCAGCCACACUGGGACUGAGACACGGCCCAGACUCCUACGGGAGGCAGCAGUGGGGAAUAUUGGACAAUGGGCGAAAGCCUGAUCCAGCAAUGCCGCGUGAGUGAUGAAGGCCUAGGUUGUAAAGCUCUUUACCAGGGAUGAUAAUGACAGUACCUGGAGAAUAAGCUCCGGCUAACUCCGUGCCAGCAGCCGCGGUAAU